CAGUAUUUAGUUUAAUUUGAAAAUAUAAUAUUUGGAUUAUUAAGAUUGGUUACUGA
rnacentral:tRNA from 1 species